UCUCUAUCACAAACUCAUAGAAGUCUGUAUCCUUUUUGUUUAAGAGGGCCAGAGGGGAAGGAAAGAGGGGGUGUUCUUUGCAAUAGCAUUUCUUCUCAAUGGGUUGCAGAAUUGCUGAUUCUGUUUUCCUCUUCGUGAACCCCAAACCGGGGCAAAUCCGUAGUCAGAGGAUUACUACCCAUUUAUCUCCAGGCAUUCAUCACUCGACAUGGGACGGGCUUCUUCAGAAAGGAGAGAAAGAGAAACAUGGUUUAUUCCACUUGAGAAGGACCAAACCUGUACAAGCAGUGGCAGUUCCAGUUGUACCAUCUUCAGCAGACAGUGCUCAGUAUAGAAAGCAGUUAGCAGAAAGUUACGGCUUCAGGCAAAUUGGAGAACCACUUCCUAGAAAUAUUACAUUAAAGGAAAUCAUUGAUACUCUGCCCAAAAAGGUGUUUGAGAUCGAUGAUGUGAAAGCAUGGAAGUCAGUUUUAAUAUCAGCCACUUCAUAUGCAUUGGGGCUCUUUAUGAUUUCAAAGGCCCCAUGGUACCUACUUCCUCUGGCUUGGGCAUGGACAGGGACUGCAGUAACUGGGUUUUUUGUUGUAGGACAUGAUUGUGCUCACAAGUCAUUUUCAAGGAACAAAUUAGUGGAAGACAUUGUGGGAACUCUAGCCUUUCUGCCACUAAUAUACCCAUAUGAGCCAUGGAGGUUUAAGCAUGACAGGCAUCAUGCAAAAACCAACAUGUUGGUUGGGGAUACAGCUUGGCAUCCUAUUUUGAAAGAAGAAUUUGAUUCAUCUCCUCUGUUCCGCAAAGCAAUUAUAUAUGGAUAUGGCCCAUUUCGGCCUUGGAUGUCCAUAGCUCACUGGUUGAUGUGGCACUUUGACAUAAAAAAGUUUAGACCAAA
rnacentral:misc_RNA from 1 species